AGAGAGGGGCUACUAGGAUGAUCAGAGAAAUGGAGAACCUGCCUUACGCAAGGAGACUUAAGGGACCUGAAGGAAAGCGGAACGCGCAGGACACCUGGAAGAAAGAAGACUCUCACAGAGCUGUGGCAACCACACCAACAGAACCCCGCUGGGUAAGAAAGCUAACUAUUGCCUUACAACAAGCAGCAAAGUAGCUAGCUACCCACGAUCAGAAGCAUCGACAAUGCUCACUAGCUUCAGACAAUGCUCACUAGUGGCCAUCGCUCACAAAGCAGCUACUACUGCAGCAGCACCACAAGCCAUAGCAAUGGCUUCUGUAAGUAGCUAAUGGCCUUUCCAUCCUAGCCACGCCGCACAGUAGCACUGCAACCCACGCUCGCUAGCAUCGUUCCCAAGCCGCUCUUGCAGCUGCAGUAACAGCAGUCCACCCAGGGUUCCAAGGUUGUCCCUGGCAACAGCCACUUCUCCUACCCAGCCAGCAGGAGGCCACGGCAGCAGCCCCACAGCAGCUACCAACGGGCUGCAGUCUCUGCCACCACAGAGCAGCACUUACCUCAGCAGCAGCUUGCGGUGAACUCACCAGAGAACUUGCGCUCCCUAAAUUUACAAACGAUCCCUAAUUGAGACAGAGCAGAAGGACCUUGUAAGACGGUUCAGAGGGAUUUUUAAGAAGGCUUCUAGUCUACAUUUACGGAUAGAGUAUCAUCAAAGUAGUUGCUUGACUUCAUUGGCGGUCCUCUGUAAACUGUAUUUUUGAGUGUUUGAAAAAAUAUGUAUUGAUAACUUGGCUUUUUCCUUCAUUUACUACCAGAAAUGCUUAAACUUGCAACUGAUUGUCACCUUUUAAAGAAGGCACUGAUUAUUCACCAUGUGUAAAGAGACUGUGCUGCAAUGUGAUGUUUUGGGAAAUGUGGAUCCUUAACUACACUACAUACAUAAAUUGCAUAGAUACUCUGAGCAAUACAAUAAAGAAUAAAUGUUUGAAUUC